UCAGGCACCUGGCUGAAAAAAGUAGAAUAGAAAUUACAACAAAAAAACCUUGACUCUAAUAUAAUACUAAUUAAAUUCUAAUUAGACCAUAACAAUGUUAAGUAAGCUCUAAUCAAAUUCAAAGAAACCUCAAAAGAAUUACAAAGAAAUAAUAAAAAAUCUUAAAAAAAUAUCAAAAUGAUCACAAAUAUAUCUGAAAUAUAUCUCAAUUCAAUCUUAAUUUAAUCAUAGUUAAAAUCCUAUUGGACUUCAUUCAAACUUUAGGCCAAAAACUAACUAAAUCUUAAACUUUAAAAAAACUCAAAUAAAAUCCUAAAUCCUAAAUCAAAUCCUAACCAAAUCCUAAGUCUGAAUCAAAUCCAAACUAAACUCUAAAUCCUAAAUCAAAUCCUAACCAAUCCUAAACCAAACCCUAAUCCUAAAUCAAAUUCUAAAUAAUUCUAAAUCAAAUCCUAAAUCCUAAAUAAAAUCCUAACCAAAUCCUAAUCUUAAAUCAAAUCCUAACCAAAUCCUAAAUCCUAAACUAAAUCCUAAUCCUAAAUCAAGCCUUAACCAAACCCUGAAUCCCAAACGAAAUCCUAAUUCUAAAUCAAAUCCUAAUCAAAUCCUAA
rnacentral:lncRNA from 1 species